GACGAACGCUGGCGGCGUGCUUAACACAUGCAAGUCGAACGGAAAGGCCCUGCUUUUGUGGGGUGAUCGAGUGGCGAACGGGUGAGUAACACGUGAGUAACCUGCCCUUGACUUUGGGAUAACUUCAGGAAACUGGGGCUAAUACCGGAUAGGAGCUCCUGCUGCAUGGUGGGGGUUGGAAAGUUUCGGCGGUUGGGGAUGGACUGGCGGCUUAUCAGCUUGUUGGUGGGGUAGUGGCUUACCAAGGGUUUGACGGGUAGCCGGCCGGAGAGGGGGACCGGCCUCAUUGGGACUGAGAUACGGAGCAGAGUCCUACGGGAGGCAGCAGUGGGGAGUAUUGCACAAUGGGCGCAAGUCUGAUGCAGCAACGCCGCGUGCGGGAUGACGGCCUUCGGGUUGUAAACCGCUUUCGCCUGUUACGAAGCGUGAGUGACGGUAAUGGGUAAAGAAGCACCGGCUAACUACGUG
rnacentral:rRNA from 1 species